rnacentral:tmRNA from 1 species
AGCGAAACCUAACCUGAGACUACACCCGUAGAUGCUCUUGCUGGUAUGCUUUCGGACAGGGGUUCGACUCCCCUCGCCUCCACCA